rnacentral:misc_RNA from 1 species
CAUCUAGAAUGGCUUGCAAGCCUUAAUUUGUCAGCUUAUUCCCAAAAAUUUGAAGGUAGCACAAAUGAGGCAUGUGCUCUGCAAUAGCUAGUGCCUCUUCGUUGCAAUCUAUAUGCAGAUUUCUGCAGCCCUGGUUGUUCAGAUUAAAUGAUUUGAGUAGAGGACAACAACGCCCAAGAACUUCAAGAGCUUGUUUUGAUAAUGAGCAGUAUGAAAUGUCAAGCUCCUCCAGUAAUGGAAAUUUUGUGGCUGCUUCACUUAAUCCCUCAUCCGAAAUGCUAUAGCAACAUACAAGCCGAAGUCGUUUGAGAUGACUAGAUCUGUAAGGUGGUCAUCAAAGAACAAAAUAGUAGAUGUCAGCACAUUGAUACCAACAGAUAAUCAAAACAUAAAAGUGAGAUUGAGUGUAACAUUUUGAAUAUGGGAACAUAAAGAAGCUUAAUAAAAUAUUAGAGAGAAGAAUAUAUCAUGUGAGGACACGGAUUCCAUCAUGUCUCACAACAUUAAAUUUAACCUCCCUGAAACUAGUACACAUAUGAGGGAACAACAAAAUGAAGUGGGUUCUAUGUGCAAAUUGUAAAUCAUUUUUUCAUAGGCUUCUUUGUUGAUGAUCAAAUGCAAGGAAAAUUUUCCUCCUUCCAAGAUAACCCAUCACUGAAAAAAGAUGUACACUCACAGAAAGCAUUUGCCAGUUUAUCCAGACACAAAAUAUUAAGACACAUAAGAAAGGAUCCAUAAGCCCAAACCAAAUGCUCUUAUUAGUUGUCCGUCAAUUCCUUCAUAAAGCCCGCAUUUUCUUCACUUCCCUUUCCCUGUUCUUGGAGAUAAGAAAAAUUAUGCAACUGAAAAAGAAAGGAAAUUAUGCCAAAUGCUUCAAAGCUUCCUAGCAUUCCUUGUCAUUUGUAGGACAUUACGUCCUCAGCUACUUAGCUGAAUCAAUUCAACCACAUUAAUUAAGGUAUAAAUAAGAAUCAGCAUUCUGAUAAGUAUGUCAGAACACAAUACAAUAAGUCAACCUGCAAACAACCUGAAUUUCAAGCAUAUAGUGGUCAAUAGCCAACAGGAUUGCACUUGACUUGAACUAAGUAUAAAUUUCUUCUCCAAUCCAAAUGGAUAUGGGUAGAAAUAACCAAGGGAGGAUAGGACGACAAGUCUAUCCAAUUGACGAUCUCCCUAGAGACCUAAAGGUCUGACUUAAGAGAAAGAAGGAUUUGUCACCUAAUCCACUAGGACCUUGAGUUCGGAAACCAAUCUCACACUUGGAAAAUUUCGCUCAGUCUAAGAAAAUCUUGAACUAAGCUAACUCGAACCAUAAAGGGACUUCUGAUUCUACUUUUCUUACUCUCUUUCCCUCUAACUUCUGAUAAUUAAGACAAAUUCCUUUUUCUAACAACCAAACAGCUUGAUCUGGAAAAUGGAUUCAGAGUGACCAACUUGUUAGUGUACAACGUUUUCUACUUAGACGCUGAUUUAAUCUUCGGAAGUCUCAAGGUGGAGAUACUCAUUCCCGCUAUAACCUAUUUUUCCUGUAUACAAGCUCACAUACAAAGGCUUCCUGCCCUAGAAUUUCUCAAGGCUAAAUUUAUUUUCCUCUAAAUAUAAAUUAACAAAUUAAGCAAUAACAGACAAGACAAGUAUCAAUAAACACAACGAUUCAAAUUAUCCUCUCACAUACAAACACAAAAUCAUAAGAUCAAAUUCAAUUUGUUCGAACGGUAGGGAGCUUCAGUAAACUACAAUAAACGAAUUGAAAAAAAAAUCCAAAUUCAAUUCAAAAUUAUCACCACAGAGAAAACCCUUAUCAAAAAAUUCAAGAAGCAAACCAGAACUUCUAUCAACAGCAUGCCUGCACAUCAUAAUCCAUGUCCCAGAGAUCACCCAAAUUGUGCAUGUCGAUCGAUCUCCACAUAGAGGGGUCCUUGCAGAUGCUACGCCAUGUGGAGCAGACGAGCUGCGCUGAGGUCAAGAUCUCGAUCGCCCCCAGCUUCCAAAGGAUCGACGCUGUAACGUCCCGCGGCAGCUCCACCCAGUUCCGAUACGGCUCUUGUGGCGGAGAGAGCGAAUCCAUGGCUGACGAAUUGCGAUUGGAAGGCGAAUUGCCAGCUAUGCGCUGGUCAUUUGGGUCGGUUUCGUUUGCUGGACUUUUCUUAGUGUGGGAACGGUGAAGAGGGCGUUUGGUUUUGUCCACUGUGAACAUUAGAAAUUGAAAUUAAAAUUCUAUUAAUUA